rnacentral:lncRNA from 1 species
GUGUAAGCUCUCAGCCUCAGAACCUGAAUACCAGUGUGUGUGGUCUGGGCUGGAUCUAGACGUUAUGUGUGGCUGGGACAGGAGAUGUCCUCCAGGAUCACCAAAACAUCUUUAGAGAAAGAAAACCUGAUGGAAUGAAGGUCAAGUCCAAACACAGGGAUGGGGAACAGAGUAUUGUUUAUUUCUAGCAUCCUGUAUCCUUCUCCAAGAUGACUACUGUUGUCUACUUCCCUAGCUGGAAUUAGAGUUGGAGCAUCCUGUUUGCUGGAAGAGCUGCAGUCUCAAGUCCUGCUAAGGGAACAUUAUGAGUUAGCAAUGGCCAUUGCUGGUGGAAGAAGUAUGAAUACACAGACUGA